rnacentral:rRNA from 1 species
GGGACCGCGGUGACUGUAGCGGGGGUAAGUAGGGGGGGUGUAGUGGUGUUGGGAAUGGUUGGGCGUACAGGGCGCGUAGGCGUGUUCUUACGUCGGAUGGGCACUCCCUGGGCGCAAGCCAGGAACGGCAUCCUAGACGGGGAGGGUAGAGUACUGGAGAGGUUGGUGGAAUGCCUCGUGUAGCGGUGAAAUGCGUAGAGAUGAGGAGGAACACCAGUGGCGAAGGCGGCCAACUGGACAGUAACUGACGCUGAGGCGCGAAAGCGUGGGUAGCAAACAGGAUUAGAUACCCGGGUAGUC